AAAAUUUGAACUAAAAUGUCGUGUUUUUAUGUGGCUCUUCCAAUUUUUCUGAUUUUUUAAUAGAAAAAGGUAUUUUUGUGCAUACUAUUUGAGUUUAUUCUGUUCCUUAAAGCCUGUUUAAUCUCCUGAAAAUGAAGCGUUAAAUAAUUCACAACAGCACAUAAUAAUCACCCAAAAGAAGAGACCUGGGUCACCUGUUGUAUAAUCCUGAUGUUUGGCCGUCAUUCUCGUUUAACAGAUUGAUUUUCUAUUAUCAGAUUUGUACAACAAAUUAAUGGAUGUAUACAGUUCCAAGGCAGUACAUUUAUCCUUUUGAUAAAUAUUACCAAUGGCAUCAGGACUUAACCAAAACUUUCCAGAAGGGUAGCCAGAAGACGUGUUUACCUCAACAUAGACAUCAGCAUGUCCACCAACACCUUGGACUUACAUUUUUUAAUUAUUCUUGUUAAUAAAAUAUAGUGU